UCUUUAACUGAAGGGCAGCCAUGGACCAUAAAUACAUAGAAGAUAAAAAUAUAUUGAGCUUAGGAGUUUGGUCUGUUCAAUGGAUGAGAACUUUAUAUUUUCCCUUAUAAACACAAUUUUCAAAGAAUAGCCUGUAAUAGUCGUGAAAAUGGAAACCAAUACUGGGGAAAUGUGGACUGCAACUCUGAAAAGUUGAAGACUAUUCACCCCGGUGGACUCAUCAUGUUGGGGACUUUCAAUUGCUACUUUAAAAAGAACGCUUCACUGAAAUAGGUCUCAUCCCAUCAGGAACAUAGAAAAACAAGCAGCAGGCCGGGCGCGGCGGCACAGGCCUAUAAUCCCAGCUACUUGGGAGGCUGAGGCAGAAGAAUCGCUUGAACCCAGGAGGCGGAGGUUGCAGUGAGCCGAGAUCGCGCCACUGCACUCCAGCCUGGGCGACAGAGAGAGACUCUGUCUCAAAAAAAAGUAAAAAAAAAGAAAAAAAGGAAAACAAAAGAAAAAAGAAAAGCAGUUGUUUAUCUUUU
rnacentral:lncRNA from 1 species